rnacentral:rRNA from 1 species
UUGUCUCAAAGAUUAAGCCAUGCAUGUCUCAGUACAAGCCAAAUUAAGGUGAAACCGCGAAAGGCUCAUUAAAUCAGUUAUGGUUCCUUAGAUCGUACCCACAUUACUUGGAUAACUGUGGUAAUUCUAGAGCUAAUACAUGCAAACAGAGCUCCGACCGGAGACGGAAGGAGCGCUUUUAUUAGAUCAAAACCAAUCGGUGGCGGGUUCGCGCUCGUCAUCGUACAAUUUGGUGACUCUGAAUAACUUUUCGCUGAUCGCACGGUCUCGCACCGGCGACGCAUCUUUCAAAUGUCUGCCUUAUCAACUGUCGAUGGUAGGUUCUGCGCCUACCAUGGUUGUAACGGGUAACGGGGAAUCAGGGUUCGAUUCCGGAGAGGGAGCCUGAGAAACGGCUACCACAUCUAAGGAAGGCAGCAGGCGCGCAAAUUACCCACUCCCGGCACGGGGAGGUAGUGACGAAAAAUAACGAUACGGGACUCAUCCGAGGCCCCGUAAUCGGAAUGAGUACACUCUAAACCCUUUAACAAAGAUCAAUUGGAGGGCAAGUCUGGUGCCAGCAGCCGCGGUAAUUCCAGCUCCAAUAGCGUAUAUUAAAGUUGUUGCGGUUAAAAAGCUCGUAGUCGAAUCUGUGUCCCGCGCCGCCGGUUCAUCGUCCGCGGUGUUAACUGGCGUGCCGCGGGACGUCCUGCCGGUGGGCUUAGCUCGCAAGGGCGGCCCAACUCAAUCCCGCCGCGGUGCUCUUUACUGAGUGUCGAGGUGGGCCGGCACGUUUACUUUGAACAAAUUAGAGUGCUUAAAGCAGGCUAAAACUUCGCCUGAAUACUGUGUGCAUGGAAUAAUGGAAUAGGACCUCGGUUCUAUUUUGUUGGUUUUCGGAACCCCGAGGUAAUGAUUAAUAGGAACGGAUGGGGGCAUUCGUAUUGCGACGUUAGAGGUGAAAUUCUUGGAUCGUCGCAAGACGGACAGAAGCGAAAGCAUUUGCCAAAAACGCUUUCAUUGAUCAAGAACGAAAGUUAGAGGUUCGAAGGCGAUCAGAUACCGCCCUAGUUCUAACCAUAAACGAUGCCAGCUAGCGAUCCGCCGACGUUCCUCCGAUGACUCGGCGGGCAGCUUCCGGGAAACCAAAGCUUUUGGGUUCCGGGGGAAGUAUGGUUGCAAAGCUGAAACUUAAAGGAAUUGACGGAAGGGCACCACCAGGAGUGGAGCCUGCGGCUUAAUUUGACUCAACACGGGAAACCUCACCAGGCCCGGACACCGGAAGGAUUGACAGAUUGAGAGCUCUUUCUUGAUUCGGUGGGUGGUGGUGCAUGGCCGUUCUUAGUUGGUGGAGCGAUUUGUCUGGUUAAUUCCGAUAAC